rnacentral:rRNA from 1 species
ACGGGAGGCAGCAGUGGGGAAUAUUGCACAAUGGGGGAAACCCUGAUGUAGCGACGCCGCGUGAACGAUGAAGUAUUUCGGUAUGUAAAGUUCUAUCAGCAGGGAAGAUAGUGACGGUACCUGACUAAGAAGCACCGGCUAAAUACGUGCCAGCAGCCGCGGUAAUACGUAUGGAGCAAGCGUUAUCCGGAUUUACUGGGUGUAAAGGGCGUGUAGGCGGGACAUCAAGUCAGAUGUGAAAGCACGAGGCUCAACUUCGUGUCUGCAUUUGAAACUGACGUUCUUGAGUGUUGGAGAGGCUAACGGAACUCCUAGUGUAGCGGUGAAAUGCGUAGAUAUUAGGAAGAACACCAGUGGCGAAGGCGGUUAGCUGGACAAUAACUGACGCUGAGGCGCGAAAGCGUGGGUAGCAAACAGGAUUAGAUACCCUUGUA